AUUGAACGCUGGCGGCAGGCCUAACACAUGCAAGUCGAGCGGAAGAAGGGAGCUUGCGCCUGGAUUCAGCGGCGGACGGGUGAGUAAUGCCUAGGAAUCUGCUUCGCUGUGGGGGAUAACGUCCUGAAACGGGCGCUAAUACCGCAUACGACCUGAGGGUGAAAGUGGGGGAUCUUCGGACCUCACGCUCUCAGAUGAGCCUAGGUCGGAUUAGAUAGCUGGUGGGUUGAAGGCCUACCUAGGCGACGAUCCGUAACUGGUCUGAGAGGAUGAUCGGUCACACGGGAACUGAGACACGGUCAAGGCUCCUACGGGAGGCAGCAGUGGGGAAUAUUGGGCAAUGGGCGAAAGCAUGAUACAGCGAUGCCGAGUGUGAGGAAAAGGUCUUCGGAGUGUAAAGCACUUUAAGUUGGGAGGAAGGGCAGUAAGUUGAGACCUUGCUGUUUUGACGUUAACAACAAAAUAAGCACCGGCUAACUACGUG
rnacentral:rRNA from 1 species